rnacentral:tRNA from 1 species
GGACGCUGGCGGACGGAUCGGACCGACUUUGCAAGGCAGGGGUUAGGGGUUCAAGUCCCCUCGUCUCCACCA